UCUGACGAACUUGUUUUCGCCCGAGUUGUAAUUUGAAGAUGGAAUGCUAGAUUUUAAAGGAAAGAUUAAGUGCCUUGGAAUAGGCUGCCGUAGAGGGUGAGAGCCCCGUGAAUCGUUCAUUAAUUUUAAUUUCAAUUAGCGUCUAUCGAAGAGUCGAGUUGUUUGGGAAUGCAGCUCUAAGUGGGUGGUAUAUUCCAUCUAAGGCUAAAUAUUAGCGAGAGACCGAUAGCAAACAAGUACAGUGAUGGAAAGAUGAAAAGAACUUUGGAAAGAGAGUGAAAUAGUACGUGAAAUUGUUGAAAGGGAAGGGUAUUUGAUCCGACAUGGUGUUUAGCAGCGGCCCGUUCCUUUUUGGGAUGGGUGCACCUGGUUUACACUGGGCCAGCAUCAGUUCCUGGGGCUGGAGAAGAAGGGAGUGAAUGUGGCCCCACGAUUCUGUCAUGGGGUGUUAUAGCACUUU
rnacentral:rRNA from 1 species